UCCAGACUCCUACGGGAGGCAGCAGUGGGGAAUAUUGCACAAUGGGGGGAACCCUGAUCCAGCGACGCCGCGUGAGUGAAGAAGUAUUUCGGUAUGUAAAGCUCUAUCAGCAGGGAAGAAAGAAAUGACGGUACCUGACUAAGAAGCCCCGGCUAACUACGUGCCAGCAGCCGCGGUAAUACGUAGGGGGCGAGCGUUGUCCGGAAUUACUGGGCGUAAAGAGAGCGUAGGCGGCACUACAAGUCUCAUGUGAAAUACCCGGGCUUAACUUGGGGGUUGCAUGGGAAACUGUAGAGCUUGAGUACAGGAGAGGCAAGCGGAAUUCCUAGUGUAGCGGUGAAAUGCAUAGAUAUUAGGAGGAACACCAGUGGCGAAGGCGGCUUGCUGGACUGAAACUGACGCUGAGGCUCGAAAGCGUGGGGAGCAAACAGGAUUAGAUACCCGUGUA
rnacentral:rRNA from 1 species